UUUUAUAAAAUAUUUAUAUUUUACAGUUUAUAAUUGUUACUAAGUAACACUAUACCACGAAUUCAUGAGACAAUUGUUAAAAAACUGAAGUUUUUAACCCUUAUUAAAACAGCAUAUUAAUAAUAGUUUACAAUUUUAUAAAUAUUGAUUCAAAUACAUCCACCAUAUAACCCAAUUCCAAAUAAAACACGUUUUGUAAUUUCUUUAUCCGUCCCGUGAUUUUUUUUUAAAGUAGUAAUUUUUAAAAUUUAAGAAUUAUUUUUCAUAUAUAAAAGUUUUGCAAAUUGUAUCAUUCUCUAAUACAUUUAUAUUUUAUAGUUUAAUUUUAUAUAUAGUAACAUUAUACAUACCACAUAACAUUUUUGGUUUUAUAUAAUCUUUUCUAAAUUAGGAUGAUUUGAUAUGUUUAAUAUUAGUGGUCUUAAAAU
rnacentral:sRNA from 1 species